rnacentral:rRNA from 1 species
UACGGGGGGGGCAAGCGUUGUUCGGAAUUACUGGGCGUAAAGGGCUUGUAGGUGGCCAACUAAGUCAGACGUGAAAUCCCUCGGCUUAACUGGGGAACUGCGUCUGAUACUGGAUGGCUUGGAUUUGGGAGAGGGAUGCGGAAUUCCAGGUGUAGCGGUGAAAUGCGUAGAUAUCUGGAGGAACACCGGUGGCGAAGGCGGCAUCCUGGACCAACAUUGACGCUGAGGAGCGAAAGCCAGGGGAGCAAACGGG